UACGUAGGGUGCAAGCGUUGUCCGGAAUUAUUGGGCGUAAAGAGCUCGUAGGCGGUCUGUCGCGUCGGCUGUGAAAACCCGAGGCUCAACCUCGGGCCUGCAGUCGAUACGGGCAAACUAGAGUACUGCAGGGGAGACUGGAAUUCCUGGUGUAGCGGUGAAAUGCGCAGAUAUCAGGAGGAACACCAACGGCGAAGGCAGCACUCUGGGCUGGUACUGACGCUGAGGAGCGAAAGCGUGGGGAGCAAACAGG
rnacentral:rRNA from 1 species